rnacentral:rRNA from 1 species
AUUGAACGCUGGCGGCAGGCCUAACACAUGCAAGUCGAACGAGUGGCGGACGGGUGAGUAAUGUCUGGGAAACUGCCCGAUGGAGGGGGAUAACUACUGGAAACUGUAGCUAAUACCGCAUACCAUCGGAUGUGCCCACUUGGGAUUAGGUAGUUGGUGGGGUAACGGCUCACCAAGGCGACGAUCCCUAGCUGGUCUGAGAGGAUGACCAGCCACACUGGGACUGAGACACGGCCCAGACUCCUACGGGAGGCAGCAGUGGGGAAGAUUGCGGAAUGGGGGCAAGCCUGAUGCAGCCAUGCCGCGUGUAUGAAGAAGGCCUUCGGGUUGUAAAGUACUUUCAGUGAGGAGGCGUUAAUUACAGAAGAAGCACCGGCUAACUCCGUGCCAGCAGCCGCGGUAAUAC